rnacentral:rRNA from 1 species
AACGAACGCUGGCGGCGUGCCUAACACAUGCAAGUCGAGCGCGAAUGGGGGCAACCCCUAGUAGAGCGGCGCACGGGUGCGUAACACGUGGGUAAUCUGCCUGGAAGACUGGAAUAACCUGCCGAAAGGCUGGCUAAUACCAGAUAAGCUCACGGGCACUUCGGAACCUGAGAGAAAAGGUGGCCUCUGUAUACAAGCUAUCACUUCCAGAUGAGCCCGCGGCCCAUCAGCUAGUUGGCGGGGUAACAGCCCACCAAGGCGACGACGGGUAGCUGGUCUGAGAGGACGAUCAGCCACACUGGAACUGAGACACGGUCCAGACUCCUACGGGAGGCAGCAGUGGGGAAUUUUGCACAAUGGGCGAAAGCCUGAUGCAGCAACGCCGCGUGUGUGAUGAAGGUCUUCGGAUUGUAAAGCACUUUCGACCGGGAUGAAAAACCGUUGGCUAACAUCCAACGGUUUGACCGUACCGGGAGAAGAAGCACCGGCUAACUCUGUGCCAGCCGCCGCCGUAAUAC